UAAAAUUAUUGAAAAAUACGGAAGGUGUAGGACCUCCAAAGUACACAACACUCAGAUUUCAUGUGUAGGUGGUUUUGGAGUUAUCAAUAUUAAUUUGAAAAUUAUUGAGUUUAGUUUUUGUUAUAUUGCAAGAUCGGAAGGUGCACAGGAUACAUUCUCAUAAGCUGAUUUGAUCUGAAUAACAUGGAGAUCCGGGGCGUUGCCCUCAGUGGGGGUUCUAAUGGGCGUCGCCCCAAGUGACUUUUAAAAGGAAGUGCUAGGGUCUAAGGGACAGAGUCUCUGACGUUAGUCCUCCUGGCCAGUCAAGGGGGACCGCCAUUGCGGUGUGCAAGGCAAUUCCCCAACCUGAAAAAGAUAUAUCAAUAGCAUAAGAGGAGAGGAUGACAUGUAUUUAUGAGAAUCAGAGAAUGAUCAUUGAAGUACCGUGUUACAAUUACAAAAGUGGUCCUCAUCUUUAUGUUCAUUGAUUUUGAGAACACCACGCAUGUGAAGAUGUCUAUGUCUACUUGUUCUUUUACUUUGCUUUGUAACAUCAUUGUUGAGGACCCAAUUUGAAACAAUUAUUUAUUUGUACCAUGUAAUGAUUACAUUAUUUAAAGUUUUUGCUUGAUUUUA